rnacentral:rRNA from 1 species
GACGAACGCUGGCGGCGUGCCUAAUACAUGCAAGUAGAACGCUGAAGGAGGAGCUUGCUUCUCUGGAUGAGUUGCGAACGGGUGAGUAACGCGUAGGUAACCUGCCUUGUAGCGGGGGAUAACUAUUGGAAACGAUAGCUAAUACCGCAUAAUAGCAGUUGUUGCAUGACAACUGUUUGAAAGGUGCAAUUGCACCACUACCAGAUGGACCUGCGUUGUAUUAGCUAGUUGGUGUGGUAACGGCUCACCAAGGCGACGAUACAUAGCCGACCGGAGAGGGGGAUCGGCCACACUGGGACUGAGACACGGCCCAGACUCCUACGGGAGGCAGCAGUAGGGAAUCUUCGGCAAUGGACGGAAGUCUGACCGAGCAACGCGGCGUGAGUGAAGAAGGUUUUCGGAUCGUAAAGCUCUGUUGUAAGAGAAGAACGAGUGUGAGAGUGGAAAGUUCACACUGUGACGGUAUCUUACCAGAAAGGGACGGCUAACUACGUG